GGGACUGUAGGGUCUUAUGGAAGUUGAAUAGAGUGUUAAGUUUCUUAGGGGGCUAUUUCUCAUAUGAAGUAUCAGUACAGUAUUGAAAGAGCUUAUUUUCAUUGUCAAUAUCAAAAUCAGUUAUUACAAAUAACUUUAGCCACUAAACAUGCACGUACAAAAAUGUUCAAGAUUCUAUACAUCAGAGAAAGGUGAAAUUGUCACCACUUGUGUAGAUUCAUAAGCAAGGUCUCCUCCUCCUAAUUGAUUUCGAACUCAUCCUGUGCCUCUUAGGCUGAUGCCAAAUUGAAGGGGUUAAACACUAGAGCAACUUGCUAUUGGAUGUUCGGUCUUGCUUGUCCCUUGCUACAGAUUGUGUAACCUCAACAACCUGCUUGUUACCUUAGGGAAGGACAACUUAACUGGCAAAAAAGGUUACGUCUAAGAUUCUAUACGUUCGAUGAGAUUUGGCUUGCUGUCUUGAUUAUUUGUAUAGUCAGUAGUGAAACAAGAUAUCAUGUGUUGUUUCCAACACACGAAGAUAUGUUGACAUAAUUAAAGUGAGAAGCAUAGGACCCUGAAAUCAUAGAGCUAAAUGAUAUUUUGCAUUCGGGAGUGAUGAAUUCCACGUUAUUAAGUCUAAUUCAGCAAAUGCUAUUUCUUUCUUUUCCAGGAAGUGAGCAUCACUAUAAAAAAUAACACAACUGAACUUUAGCUGUGUAAAGCCAAACAGUAAUAGGUUUAGGUUAGCUACUGAACCAAGUCUAGUUUUAGCUUUCACUGAUCAUGUCUCUUUCAUUGGCAUGAAUCUCAUUACGAUCAUUUCAAAAGUGUAUAUGAACACAAUUUCAUUAAUUAUACUGUAGUUUCAAAACAACAAAUUACACGAGAAAUUAGAUGACAUAAUAUGAGUAUGUAGACGAUUAUCAUAUUGCAAACGAUACCAUCAAAUACUAAUGCAUUAAGCAUCAGACCAUGUAAUGUCAUAUUCGCCCUAAUCAUCUUCAGGUAUACCCAAGGCUUCCCACACUGCUUUAGAGGCAUCAACUAUGUUAUUUGGGCAUGGAGGCUGAUAAUCGUGCUCGUCAUCACAUCCCAUGGUAGAGUCACACUCAUCUACAACUUUAGCCUUCACACUUCGUCCAUUAGCACUUAUGGUGAUAUAGUUAAGGCACCUAUCUUGUCACAACCCAACUUUUCAGGUCAUGAUGACGCCUAUCAUAACCCACCAGUAGGCAAGCCAACCUGUGCUGUGUAAAGCCAAACAGUAAUAGGUUUAGGUUAGCUACUGAACCAAGUCUAGUUUUAGCUUUCACUGAUCAUGUCUCUUUCAUUGGCAUGAAUCUCAUUACGAUCAUUUCAAAAGUGUAUAUGAACACAAUUUCAUUAAUUAUACUGUAGUUUCAAAACAACAAAUUACACGAGAAAUUAGAUGACAUAAUAUGAGUAUGUAGACGAUUAUCAUAUUGCAAACGAUACCAUCAAAUACUAAUGCAUUAAGCAUCAGACCAUGUAAUGUCAUAUUCGCCCUAAUCAUCUUCAGGUAUACCCAAGGCUUCCCACACUGCUUUAGAGGCAUCAACUAUGUUAUUUGGGCAUGGAGGCUGAUAAUCGUGCUCGUCAUCACAUCCCAUGGUAGAGUCACACUCAUCUACAACUUUAGCCUUCACACUUCGUCCAUUAGCACUUAUGGUGAUAUAGUUAAGGCACCUAUCUUGUCACAACCCAACUUUUCAGGUCAUGAUGACGCCUAUCAUAACCCACCAGUAGGCAAGCCAACCUGUAGUCCGGAACGGCUAGUAACGGACUACUCAAUAACAUAAGGAAAAUAAUGCGGAAUACAUGAGAUAAAGAUCAAUACAUAGACGAAUCCCAAAACCUGGUGGUAUCAGUACAAGAGCUUCUAAACAUAAUAAGAGUACAAAAGUGAUAUAUCAAGGAGAAAUACACUGAUUCAACUCACCUCUGAAUACAACUUAGAGGCUAGUCUAAUAAAUAGGAGAGAGAUAAGUAAUACUCCGAACGUCAGGAGCUCACUCUAAGUCUCCGAAUCAGGGCUACUCCACACGAUGCACAUAUCAACGACGAUAACUCGUACUAUGAUCUGCAGGCUGUGGAGGUGUAGUAUGAGUACCAAACGAAUGGUACUCAGCAGGCAUCUGCCAACUGAGCUCCAAAGAUAAAGUAGAUAUAUACAACAUAUAAACAGAAUGGAAACUACAAUCAAGAGCAUAAAUCAUGUAAUAGGCAAUGCUAUACCAUAUAUCCCAGGUCAAAAUAUAAAUAAAGAGCGAAAGAAAGAUAUAUUGUAAUAUACAAGGUGAAGGAAUGACUAUACAAUGUGAACAACGAAGAAAGGGAUAUCCGAUAGUACCGUGGCUUUAUAUAGCUAUAUAUAUAAUACAUAUAAAUAGAAGGUCAUCUCAAACAUAACCUAGAUCGUCAUGUUCUUAUUUUAAGACCUCAUUAUAAUACUAUCAGGAUUCAAUACCAACAUACUCAGGAUUUCUAAUCCAUAUGGCUAGACAUAGAAUAAUCGUGCAUAGUAAUGUAAUCAUAAGAUAGCAAAGGCUGAAGACAUACCUCUAUCCCAAUACCGAAUCCAUGACCAAUCUGUCAUAGGCUAGCCAUAAUAAUGAUCAUAACAAUGAUAAUAACAAUAUCAAUAACAUCAUAAAUAACCGGCUACUUCGGACAACCAAAUACCUAGCCGAGCCUAUGCAUACCCCCACCACCCCAGACUCGGAAGGUUCAAUCAACAUAUAACAACACAAGGCAUAUUCUUCACCCAUAUCUAUGCAACCGUCCCAUACCGGCUAAUAGACAUAGGUGCAUACUGGUGAUAGGUGAUGCACAUGCAGGAAUGAAUGCAAAGUAUACCAUCAAUAUCACAACUCAUAAUAAUUGUCCUCAUCAGGACCAUCAUCAUCAUAAUCAACCUCCGGCCUUGCCGGGAAUCAAUAUCAUCUCAAUAGUAUCCUCCGGACUUAAACCGGGUAUCAAUAUCAUCACAAUAUCCUCCGGCCUUGCUGGAAAUCAUUAUCACUCAAUAGUAUCCUCCGGACUCGAACCGGGUAUCAAUAUCAUCAUAAUAUCCUCUGACCUUGUCGGGAAUCAAUAUCAUCUCAAUAGUAUCCUCCGAACUCAAAUCGGGUAUCAAUAUCAUCAUAAUAUCCUCCGGCCUUGACGGGUAUCAGUAUGUCAUCACAAUAUCCUCCGGCCUUGUUGGGUACCAAUAUAUCAUUAUAACUCUCAACAUAUAAAUAUAGGCAUAUAAUAGGUGCACAGACACAAGCCGAUAUACUCAUAACCGUAAAGAUGUCUAUCUUAUCAAUACAUCCCAACUAUUCAUUAUUAGCUAACCAACACAUAUUAUUAUUAAAUCGCUAGUUCCCUAGUCAUCACAUAACCUCUAGUUAUUAGCCUAAACAUUAUCCUUCACAUAAUCCUUGUUCACGAGAUAAUAACUAACCACUAUUCAUUUAAUAGUCAACAUCUAACAUCUAGUCUAGGUUCAUCGUUAGACCAAAACCGUCAUUUUUCCACCAUUCAUUAUUAUCAACUAUUCGUCCUAUUUUUGUUAAUCAUUACUAGACAACACAUUACUACUUGUCGCCUAACCGUCUUUUAUUAAAUGACAUCAUUCAUUAACUAACUAUCGUUAGCUACUAUGUUCCAACUAAGCAAGAUUCAUUAACUAAUACAUUAGCUUCCUAGCCAUCAAGUGUAAUAUUCAACUAAUAGACAACUAGUGACCACAUAGCUUAACCGUCUAACAAGAAGAACAACCAUAAGAUCACAUUUCAGCUAUAAUCACAUCAUUUAUAAUGGUAAAUAAUCAUGAACGUACCAAACCUAUGCAUGCCAUCACCAGUAUUCAAUCAGUGAAAUAAUAAGCAUCAUACUGCAUCUUCCUCCGUCCCAUACCGGAGAGACGUGUAUACAAACAUAUACAUAUUCAUUCUUCAAAUGAAAAAACCAUAUUCCAAGCAUAGCAUUAUAUCAUAUCUAUGCUACAAAUUUACCCAAACUAGGGAGAAGGCAAUAGGAUUCUACAAGGGUAUUAAGUAAUUCAACCUAUGGGUUAAAACCCCCAUCUAAUCCCCAAACUUAUAUGUAUAAUCAAUACUAAGUCAUUCUAUCCAAUAUCAAUCUUAACAUUCACAUUUACACGCAAUAUAUAUCAUACAUCAUCCAUGAAGAAGAGUAGACAGAAGCCUACCUCAAGGCUAAAUCGCAAAAUCACACUUCAAGCACCACAUGCUCGUCUUCACUUCAAAAUCUCCAAAAUGCCAUCACACUAUCAAAAAUAUAAUCUACUCAUUAAUACGAGUCUAACGAUAUCCAUAUUGCACUAUUAUGCUUUGGGUACCAAAACGACACCAAAAACCCCAAGUGGGUCCCACGUACGGAAAUCGCGUUUCCGAGGUCAACACAAACCAAGGAAUCAUAACCCUCAAUGAAUUGUUGAAAACAAACCAAAUUUAGGGCUAAAUCAAGCCCUAAGCUAAAUUGGGAUUUUGGGUCAAGAACUAAGAAAUUCACCAAUAAAGUGAUAAAUCUUACCUUAAUUCGGAUGAUAAUCAUGAUAAAAGAUGUUUACCAAGCUCCCUAGACACCCACAAGACUCAAUUUCGAGUUAUCAUACCCAUUUAGAGUUUUAGGCUCUCAAAAAUGCUGAAAAAUGCGGCUAUAGGGUGCUUAAAUACCCAUACUAGCUUUGGAGAUAAGCAGUCGCUGUCUGGGCCAUCAACAAAGUCAAAAACUUAUUUUUGACCGUCAACACUCAUUCGAAAAUCAAAAUAUAUGAUCUAAUAGUGAAAUUUGAGUGUAAAUCAUAUUUUAAAUUCAUUGGAAUCAUCAAAACUUUCAUCCGAGAUUAUUUCAAUAAAAAGUGGGUCCCACACCUAUUCAUUCAAAUUUUCAACUUUUCGAUCAAUAGGUUGAAAUGAGCUCGGGUGCAUUGGGACCCGAACCAAAGGUCUACCUAAACUAAAAUCGAUAUUCCAAAUCUGUUGGCGUAGUCAGAAUUUGCAUACGGGAUCGUUUCGCUGAACUUUUCACUCGGUGGCCAUUUGGAACCAGUGAAGACUUCUAAAUAGGGAAUUGACUCUAAAACCCAAACGAACUGCCCGAUAACUGAACCGUCGGUUCCAGCAAGUCAUAAAUGACUUGGGGCAGCUAUAGAGAAGCUCAAAUGGUGAAGAUAAGUAUAAAUAUGGAAAAUGACCUGAAGGGUCAUUACAACAUCCACUACUAAAAGGACUUUUGUCCCCGAAAGUCAACGAAUAGAAAGAAUCUCAAAAGCUCGAACGGAUGAGGUAUUGGGCCCACAUGCUCCAAGCAUGACUUCCCAGGUAACCUCAACGGAGAGAAAACACUUCUAAGAGAUUUUGCCACAACUAUCCCUUUUUCGACAAGCACUCUCAUUCUAUUUCCAAAAUAGCCAACUCAACUUAACCACCAACUGAACUGGAAAGGCUGAUGCACGCACAUCUGAAUCACAUCAUGCUGAUACCAUCUCUAUAUCCAUAUAAAUCAACAAAGGCUCAUCCAAGCCAAAAUCAAACCAACACAUAAGUAAUAAAACCAACUCCAAACCCAAAAAUAAUAUUCCUUAACAAUUUUACACAUGGUCUCAACUCCAAACCAGGUGGAAAAUCACCUAAGUCUCAUCGACUCCAUCUCAUCAUGGAGAAAUCAAAGAACUAAAGCUGAUCCGCUGAAAGUCCAUAAGGAAAACAUGGAAAUAAGCUCAUAAGGCAUUAUCUGGGCAUAUAAAUGGAGAUAAUCAAGGAAUGCAAUCCAUGCCAAUGCUGCAACUAGUACGAAUGAAAAUCAAACUGAAAUUUCAAAAUUCAAGGUAUAACUACUUAUGACUGAAUAUUUUGCUCCAGGAUGAUCCAUGUAUCUAGAAAAAAGGCAUACUAAAUCCAACUCAAGCAUAUUACUCCCACUGAGUAAAUCAUCCAAAAUUCUCAAAGAAAACUGAAGCUUGAGUUCAAAACUGAAAUAACCAAUACGACGCCCAUGGGCUAUCAUCUGAACACUUAUCAACUAUAAUCCAACCGACGUCAAGAAGACCGAAUAGACAACCACAGAGUAGGCUCAACCAGCCUAUGAAUGAAAUCUAAAUAAAGACAAGUUUAAAACAAAAGUUGUACGUAAGCUCUACAACACCAAGAUGAAAUCUCAAUACCAAGGCUAAAUCGCUCGGUCUCAAAUAUCUUAAACAAAAACUAAGAAUGGGUAGGCACUAAUGAUCCAAAUUUAUCAUACUUCCCAAUCGUCAUUCCAAAGCAUAAAGUCAAAACUGAACCAAUAAACCUCUAUCAUUACCAACCCUUCAAAUUGACUUUAGUAUCUAAAUCUAACGUAUCCGAGAUAAAUCAUGCCAAGCCACAAUACAGAAAUCAUGUAAAAGGAUAAAUCGUCGACUGAAAGUGCAAAUAACACAUCCCAUAUUUGCUGGAGGGCAUGAGUUAUCAAAACAUACUCAAAACUUCUCAAGACCUAAAACCACACUAGUGAAGGCAAACACUUUAGCAACUCGGAGAAAUACAAUUUGAGCCGGAACUAACCAAUACAAUACCCUAUCUAGGCAAAGAAAUAGCCAUAAACACAUAUAUCGAGGAAAAUCACUCCACCAAGCCUCACUAGGCCAAACAAAUGCUGAAAUAGGAAUUUCCUGAAUCCACCUAAGAACUACAUCAUUAAAGAAGAAAUACCAAUCUCAAGGCCAAGGUCAAAGUCGAGACAAUCACCAGAGUACUAACAACUCAAGCUAAAGAGUUUCUAAUUUUCCAACUUUAGAAGCGGUCACAGGAAAGGCCACCUGCCUCUAUCUUCCAACUCCUCCAGACAAAACCAUAUCACAACGACAAAAGAGUAUUCAAUCUCUACACUAACAACAAGACAAUCCAUCACAAAGGAACGAACCCAUCAAAUCUAAGAGAAGAAUCCACAACAUCUCAAUAUCAAUGUCAAAACCACUAUCGGGCGAUGAAAUAGUCACAACCAAAGAAUGGACCUCAAACUAAUUAAUCUCACAAAAGGGUUAUAUUGGAAGGGAUAGCCAAAAUACAAUCCUUCACAAACCAGGAGGCAAGUCUAAGAAUCUCAAACUCAAAAUGGGCAACAUAACUAAAUUGUCGAUUAAAAUUCACAAAAAUCAUGGAAGGUCAACUUACCUUCGAUACCACAACACGUGCCCGAACAAAUCUAAUACAGCUAACCAAGAGGGAAUAUAGUCAACCUCACCAGGCUAGGGGAAAGAACUCACCAAAUUAGGCUAUAUCUACUCUAGCCACUGAUUAGUAUCACAAGAAAAUGAAACUCUAACUAGAUAACAUGUCUAUACAGCUAACCAACGAGAAUCAAAUUCAUCAUGUAACAACAUAAAGUAAUAAUAUCAAGUAAUAUCAAUAAUUUCACACAGUGGUAGUAAUAGCAAUAGUAAUAUCAAGAUCAACUUUCUGAACAGGCGAUACCAAAAUGAACAUCAAUAUCAUGUACUACUCAAGGGCCAUAACAAGGCUAAUGUGCUAAUAUAAAUAGGACUCGAACCCCAAACCACACCCAUAGGGAAAAAAUAUCAAUAUAGAUCUACUCCAUCCACUACUAAAAGAAAUAAACCACGAAGUAGUAAUAUAAUCAUGAAUUCAACAAUAAGGCACAUAAUGAUCGAUAUAAAUUCAUCAAGGCAUAUAAUUAUCAAUGGGUAUGAAAACCCCAAUACACAUAAUAAGAGAUAAAUGUGAGAAGUAAAAAUACACCAAUCUUGGCAACAUUUACAGUCACAUGACUAACGGGCAUAGGGAAAAUAAAUUUGAACGGGUCUAAAUCAAAUCGACUGACUAAAUCAUCAACUAAGGCGCCAAACGCUCCAUCUAUAACUGAAGGUGCCACAACAUCACGAGCUGAUCUAAAUGAGCUGAAUAACUGGAAUUCACGUCAGGGAUACUCCCUAGACUAGUAGUCGGUCUCUCUAUAGUCAUAGCAUUUCCUGAAGCAUUAAUAUUGAGAGAACACAAACUAAGCUCAAAUGGAUGGCCAACUAAGGCUGAGAGAAAUCCGCAAAUUUAUGUCUAAACUUCCUAUAUCACAACCUAUUUUAUGAACUCUAGGCUGGCGGGGAAUACAUGCUAACUCUAGUUGAUCACUUAUCUCAUACUAGGGGCAUUCUCUGAACGAGUGUCUCAUUACAACACAACCAAACCAAGAAUCUAAAAUACUUUGAGAUACUACCCCUCAUAAUCCAGAAUGGUCACCAUGGCCCGAAAAAACAUACCACACUCCGACAGUCUGAUGGGGACUCAACCCAAAUCCUUUUUAGCUACCGUUGAAGAUCUUCGAUAUAUAUCUCUGACUCUCUAGUUUGAUACUGUGCUGAAAUUCUGGAAACUCGUAUUGGAGUCUUAUUCGCAUCUGUUGACAAUAUCGCAUCGUCCUUCGGAGAUAAAAUAGAGUCAAAGAAUAUAUGCAAGGUUCAUAAAAAUAUGGACACACGAUAAAGAGUCUUGCAGUGAAUUUCCUAAAAUAUCACUGUAGCCUCCUAAAGAUAGGUUACGAACGUCUCCGCACCGAUCCACAGGACUCUACAAACACUUAGUUCUUGUACUAAUACACUGAAGAAACCUAGGCUUUGAUACCAAUUUGUCACAAUCCAACUUUCUAAGUCAUGAUGCGUCUCCCAUAACCCACCAGUAGGCAAGCCAACCUAUAGCCCGAAACGGCUAGUAACUGACUACUCAAUAACAUAAGGAAAAGAAUACGGAAUAUAUGAGAUAAAGAUCAAUACAUAGACGAAUCUCAAACCUGGUGGUAUCAGUACAAGAGUUUCUAAACAUAACAAGAGUUCAAAAGUGAUAUAUCAAGGAGAAAUACACUAAUUCAACUUACCUCUGAAUACAACUUAGAGGUUAAUCUAGUACAUAGGAGAGAGAUAAGUAAUACUCCGAACGCCAGGAGCUCACUCUAAGUCUCCGAAUCAGGGCUACUCCAUACGAUGCAUAUAUCAACGGCGAUAACUCAUACUAUAAUUUGCAGGCUGUGGAGGUGUAGUAUGAGUACCAAACGAAUGGUACUCAGUAGGCAACUGCCAACUGAGCUCUAAAGAUAAAGUAGAUAUAUACAACAUAUAAACAGAAUGGAAACAAUAACCAAGAGUCCAUAAAUCAUGUAAUAAGUCAAUGAGAAUAACAAGGGACAACUAUCCUAUUCAUGUCUAAGAGUUUAACAUAAUAAGACUAAGGAAGUAUCAAGGUGAACUAUCCUAUUCCAGCUACAUUCAAUAUAUGCCAAAGCUAUACCGUAUAUACUAGGUCAAUAUACAAAUAAAGAGCGAAAGAAAGAUAUAUUAUAAUAUACAAGGCGAAAAGACGACUAUACAAUAUGAACAACGAAGAAAGAGAUAUUCGAUAGUACCAUGACUUCAUAUAGCUAGAUAUAUACGAUAUAUAUAUAAUACAUAUAAACAGAAGGUCAUCUCAAACAUAACCUAGAUCGUCAUGUUCUCAUUUUAAGACCUCAUUAUGAUACUAUCGGGAUUCAAUACCAACAUACUCAGGAUUUCUAAUCCAUAUGGCUAGACAUAGAAUAAUCAUGCAUAGUAAUGUAAUCAUAAGAUAGCAAAGGCCGAAGACAUACCUCAAUCCCAAUACCGGAUCCAUGACCAAUCUGUCAUAGGCUAGCCAUAAUAAUGAUCAUAACAAUAAUAAUAACAAUAUCAAUAACAUCAUAAAUAAUCGGCUACUCCGGACAACCAAAUACCUAGCCGAGCUUAUGUGUACCCCCACCGCCCCAGACUCUGAAGGUUCAAUCAAUAUAUAACAACACAAGGCAUAUUCUUUACCCAUAUCUAUGCAACCGUCCCAUACCAGCUGAUAGACAUAGGUGCAUACUGGUGAUAGGCGAUACAUAUGCAGGAAUAAAUGCAAAGUAUACCAUUAAUAUCACAACUCAUAAUAACUGUCCUCAUCAGGACCAUCAUCAUCAUAAUCAACCUCCGGCCUUGUUGGGAAUCAAUAUCAUCUCAAUAGUAUCCUCCGGACUCAAACCGGGUAUCAAUAUCAUUAUAAUAUCCUUUGACAUUGCCGGGAAUCAAUAUCAUCUCAAUAGUAUCCUCCAGACUCGAACCGAGUAUCAAUAUCAUCAUAAUAUCCUCCGGCCUUAUCGGGAAUCAUUAUCAUCUCAAUAGUAUCCUCCAGACUCGAACCGGGUAUCAAUAUCAUCAUAAUAUCCUUCGACCUUGCCGGGAAUCAAUAUCAUCUCAAUAGUAUCCUCCAGAAUCAAAUCGGGUAUCAAUAUCAUCUUAAUAUCCUCCGGCCUUGCCAGGUAUCAGUAUGUCAUCACAAUAUCCUCUGGCCUUGUCGGGUACCAAUGUAUCAUUAUAACUCUUGACACAUAAAUAUAGGCAUACAAUAGGUGCACAGACACAAGCCAAUAUACUCACAACCGUAAAGAUGUCUAUCUUAUUAAUACAUCCCAACUAUUCAUUAUUAGCUAACCAACACAUAUUAUUAUUAAAUCGUUAGUUCCCUAGUCAUCACAUAACCUCUAGUUAUUAACCUAAACAUUAUCCCUCACAUAAUCCUUGUUCACGGGAUAACAACUAACCACUAUUCAUUUAAUAGUCAACAUCUAACAUCUAGUCUAGGUUCAUCAUUAGACCAAAACUGUCAUUUAUCCACCAUUCAUUAUUAUCAACUAUUCGUCCUAUUUUUAUUAAUCAUUACUAGACAACACAUUACUACUUGUCGCCUAACCAUCUUUUAUUAAAUGACAUCAUUCAUUAACUGAUCAUCGUUAGCUACUAUGUUCCAACUAAGCAAGAUUCAUUAACUAAUACAUCAGUUUUUUAGCCAUCAAGUGUAAUAUUCAGCUAAUAGACAACUAGUGACCACAUAGCUUAACCGUCUAACAAGAAGAACAAACAUAAGAUCACAUUUCAGCUAUAAUCACAUCAUUUAUAAUGGUAAAUAAUCAUGAACGUACCAAACCUAUGCAUGCCAUCACCAGUAUUUAAUCAGUGGAAUAAUAAGAAUCAUACUGCAUCUUCCUCCGUCCCAUACCGAAGAGAUGUGUAUAUAAACAUAUACAUAUUCAUGCUUCAAAUGCUAAAAUCAUAUUCCAAGCAUAGCAUUAUAUCAUAUCUAUGCUACAAAUAUACCCAAACUAGGGAGAAGGCAAUAGGAUUCUACAAGGGUAUUAAGUAAUUCAACCUAGGGGUUAAAACCCCCUUCUAAUCCCUAAACNNNNNNNNNNNNNNNNNNNNNNNNNNNNNNNNNNNNNNNNNNNNNNNNNNNNNNNNACAUGCAAUAUAUAUCAUACAUCAUCCAUGAAGAAGAGUAGACAGAAGCCUACCUCAAGGCUAAAUCGCAAAAUCACACUUCAAGCACCACAUGCUCGUCUUCACUUCAAAAUCUCCAAAAUGCCAUCACACUAUCAAAAAUAUAAUCUAAUCAUCAAUACGAGUCUAACGAUACUCAUAUUGCACUAUUAUGCUUUGGGUCCCAAAACGACACCAAAAACCCCCAAGUGGGUCCCACGUAUGAAAAUCGCGUUUCCGAGGUCAACACAAACCAAGGAAUCAUAACCCUCAAUGAAUUGUUGAAAACAAACCAAAUUUAGGGCUAAAUCAAGCCCUAAGCUAAAUUGGGAUUUUGGGUCAAGAACUAAGAAAUUCACCAAUAAAGUGAUAAAUCUUACCUUAAUUCGGAUGAUAAUCAUGAUAAAAGAUGUUUACCAAGCUCCCUAGACACCCACAAGACUCAAUUUUGAGUUAUCAUACCUAUGGUUUUAAGCUCUAAAAAAUGAAUCAAAAAUGGAUAAAAACGUGGCUAUAGGGUGCUUAAAUACCCAUACCAGCUUUGGAGAUCCGCAUUCGCUGUCUGGGCCAUCAGCAAAGUCAAAAACUUAUUUUUGACCCUCGAAACUCAUUUGGAAACCAAAAUAUAUGAUCCAAUAGUGAAAUUUGAGUGUAAACCACAUUUCAAAUGCAUUGGAAUCAUCAAAACUUUCAUCCGAGAUCAUUUCGAUAAAAAAUGGGUCCCACACCUAUGCAUUCAAAUUUUCAACUUUCUAAUCAAUAGGUCGAAAUGAGCGCGAGUGCAUUGGGACCCGGACCUAAGAUCUAUCUAAACUAAAAUCGAUAUUCCGAAUCUGUUGGAGUAGUUAGAAUUUGCAUACGGGAUCGUUUCGCUUAAGUUUUCACUCGUUGACCAUUUGAAACCAGUAAAGACUUCUAAACAGGGAAUUAACUCUAAAAAACAAACGAACUAUCCAGAAACUGAACCGUCGGUCCCAGCAAGUCAUAAAUAACUUGGGGCAGCUAUAGAAAAGCUCAAACGGUGAAGAUAAGCAUAAAUAUGGAAAAUGACCUGAAGGGUCAUUACAUAUCUCGUCCACUAUACCAUCCGGUUGAAAGGGCAACAACUGGAGUAUCAUCAAAAUGGUAUUGGUUGUCACAUUCCGAUGGUCCACCGCCAUAUACACCCUUUUGGAAGCUAUUAAUAGUUAAAAUAGCCUUCGUGUUACCAGUAACCAGAGGUGAACAUUUGUAACUGGUGUACGUCUUCCCUUGUUUGCAGCAAUCUGAGCCAUUUUCCGGAUUACAUUGCCCUGGAGGCGGCUUUAUGCCUCUGAUUUUGCCACUGGGAUGGCAAGCCUAUAAUCUUGCAUCUAAGCUGCAACUAAGAGUGGCAAAAACCAGCAAAACCAGAAGAGAUGUUCCCAUGAUAGAAUUCUUCAUGGUUCUUGUUCUUGUGAUCCUGUGUUCGAAACGUUGGUUGUGUGGAGACUGGAUGAUCAAACUGAUUUAUAUAGUGUUAAGGUUAGUCAAAAUGCCAAUAUUCUGUUCAAGGCAUGAAAAGUUUCUUUUUAAUUAAGCAUACAAUGUUAUGAAGUCUAUCAGUCAAAUGGAUUAAUGAGUGUAUUUUAUUAGUAAUUCUUUUAGCUAUUUGGCUGUAGUAAAUCUGGACAAAUUUGACAAUACUUUGCUUUACUUUCCUUGAUGGUAAGGGCAUUUGUUUUCUAUAUAGUUGUAUAAGAAGUAGUGAUACAAGAUAUCUAGUUGUUUCCAACACACGAAGAUGAGUUAGCAUACUUAAGUGAGAAGCACAGAACCAUGAAAUCAACUCCCAGAGUUAAAAUGAUAUUCUGCAUGCGGGAGUGAUGAUUCCACAGUAUUAAUUAAGUUCAAACCCAGCAAUGUUAUUUCUUUGUAUUCCAAGAGAUGGACAGCACUAUAAAAGUUAAAAGCAACUGAACUUUAGUUAAGUAAGGCCAAACCAUAGUAGGUUUAGGUUUGCUACAGAACCAAGUCUGGGUUUAGCUUUCGCUCAUUAUGUCUCUUUUAUUGGCAUGAAUUUCAUAUUAUCAUCAUUUCAAAAGUGUAUAUGAACAGAAUUUCAUUAAUUAUAUUGUAACUGCACCACAAAAAAUUACAUAAGAAAUUAGAUGACAUAAUCCGAGUAUGUAGACAACCAUCAUAUGCAAACAAUACCAUCAAAUAUUAUAAUAAUGCACUAAGCAUCGGACAAUGUAAUGUUACAAUCGCCCCAAUCACCUUCAGGUAUACCCAAGGCUUUCCACACUGCUUUAGAGGCAGGCAUCUACGAUGUUAUUUGGGCAUGGAGGCUGAAAAUCGUGCUCGUCAUCACAUCCCAUGGUGGAGUCACACUCAUCUACAAAUUUAGCCAUUCACACUUCUUCCAUUAGCACUUAUGGUGAUAUAGUUAAUGCACCUAUCUCCUCCACUAUACCAUCCGGUUGAAGGGGCAACAACUGGAGUGCAUCAGAAUGGUAUUGGUUAUCACAUUCCGAGGGUCCACCACCACCACCUCCCUUUUGGAAGCUAUUGAGUUAAAACAGCCUUCGUGUUCCCAGUCACAGGAGGCGAGCAUUUGUAAGUGGUGUACAUCUUUGCCUUGUUUGCAACAUGUCUUGAGUCAUUUUUGGGGUUACAUUGUCCUGGAGGCGGCUUUAUCCCUCUGAUUUUGCCACUCGGAUGGCAAGCCUGUAAUCUUGCAUCUAAGCAAUAAGCAAGAGUAGCAAAAUCAGCAAAACCAAAAGUUAUGUUCCUUCAGUGGACUUCUUCAUGGUUUUUGUUCCUGUUUUCUUGUUAGGUGUUGUUUCGAGAUGUUGGUUGUGUGAAGAUUGGGAUGAUCAAACUGGUUUAUAUGGUGUUUCUGGUCAGACAAAAUGCCAAUAGUCUGCUCAAUGAAUGAAAGUUUUCUUAUAAUUAAGUACACUUAUAUGGACAUUAGCAGUCAAUGGGAUUACUUCUAUUCGUUAUUUGGCUGUUGUAGAGUGGACAUAUGUAAUCAUAAUUUCUUUGCUUUCCUUGACGGUCACGCCCUUUUCUCUAUAACUAAUAGUUAGAUGAAUUGGAGUGAUGAAUUCAAGUUUCUAUCUUUCUGCACAGUAAGAGAACUGCAGUUUGUUUCAUCUGCUAACAUGAAAACCAUACCUUUGUACCUUAAUGCAUUUCUCAUUGCUGGUGUUUUCUAAGUACAGCGUUAGAGUUCUAUUUUUUUAUUAUAAAAUAAGUAAAUACUAAUACAGUAUCAAAGAGCACAUUGUCGUUAAUAUGAAAAUCUUAUGAUUGCAUAGAACUGAAUCGAAAAAACUUCACACAUACACACAGCGAAAAAUGCUUUUGUGAUAGAAAGGGAUGGGGCUAUAAAUUACAAAAGCAAGUUCUAGGACUAAGUUACAACUAACUUGCUGAAAGGAAACAGACAGCUUUUGACGCAGCAACCAUAUUAUUUGGUCACGAAGCCCAAUCGACAACCAGGGUCUGCAUUACACCCUACGGUUGUCACUCUCAUUGAGUAAUGUCUAUUACACCAUCCGAUUGAAAUAGUCGCCGCUGAUGUGGAUUGAAUAGGGAAGACCUCAUUCUCCUUCAAGAUUCCAAAUUCAUCUUAAACAGUGUAUGAACAUUCCAAAUUGGACAGAACUCGAACAGUACUAAGAGCUUGCAUUUGGCUGCUCUAUCUUGCUUUUCCACAGUGACAGAUUUUGCAACCUCAAGAACCUACUUAAUAACUUCAGUUAGAUCAUCGUCAAACUUCUAGUGUCGUGAAAGCAAACUUUACUAAAAAAAGAGGGCCGUAUCCAAGGGCUUGUUGGCUUGAUCAUUGAUAUGAGCAGGAGUGCUAAGUUAUCACACCUAACCUGAGAGCAACCACAAUCAUGUUCAGGAAAUAAUUUUGUAUUCUUGCUAUACAGUAGUACCAUAAUAGCAAAAAAUUUUGAAGCAACUAGAUGAUUACUUUCUUUAUUAAACAAAAAAUAAGCAGGAAAAUCUAACCUCAUUAAAUAUGUGACAGGGAAAAUAGAUUUUCCUCAUGCAUUUGUAAUUCCACUCAAGGCUCCAAUAUUGACUUUCUCGCCAUUCUCCUUGUUACCAAGGGAGUCCUUGACACGAUCGGGGCCAUCACUGCCAUGGUCAUCAUUAGCUUUAAAACCACCGGAAUCGCCACCACCAUGUCUGUCAUGGUGGCCAUCUCUUCCAUCAAUCUGUCGGAAAAUUAAACAUAAACUACAGUAAAAUGCUAGAAACAGCACAAAAUAUUAGUGCACUUCAGUAAAAAUAAAAAGGAAAUCAAUUCUAAGUGCAGUACUUCUGAAUUAUCCUUUUCUGAUUGUUUCUUCGACAACGACUCGAUUGCUUUAAAGACAUCUGCAAAUGACGCCACCAUUUGUUCCUUAAGCAACUCGGUUGCUUUAAAGAUCUAAAAAAUCAAAAAAGAAAAAUAAUGAAACAACUUUUUGUGUUUGGAUAAACUGAAAUGUUAUACUACAGACACACAGAACUGCAACUGCUCAUACCUCUCGAAUAUUACUCUUCAACUCUGACUGUUCAUCAGAAAGUCGUUUGAGCUCGGCACUCCUCUCUAAAUUAUUCAUUGGGGGACCAAAUGUGGUUUUACGCAAAUUUUUGCUUUUUUUAGGAGGAGUGCUAAAGUCAUCAUCACUAGGAUAAACUUCAGGAAGAUCUCUGGAUGCAACCUCUGUAUCAUUUGGAUUUCCAGAUGAUUCAGGCAAAUCCAAAUGAACCUGCUCAAAUUCCGUCGGAGAAAUAUUCUUGAACUUCGACUACAAAAAAAAGGAAAGAGAUCAAAUGAGUAGAGAUGAAAAAUUAAAAACACAAUAGUUAAGAUAUUUACGCAUACAUUUAUGUUACAUGCUGCAUACACUGCAUGUAUACAUAAUUUAUAUUUCAUAUUACAGAUUAUGAAUUGACUUUGCAAUUCACCUUGUCCUUGUUGAUCUUGAAUAACCCACGAGACAACUCAUUCAAGGUCGGUAGCUUUACAAUUUUCCAAUUAAGAAUACGAGGCACAUUGUUGUCAACCCGAUGAGCCAACUUGCCAUCAACAUUAGUGCAGCACUCAUAGAACCAGCACUGCAAAGCCAAAGGUAAACCCCCAAUCCUAUACAUCUUUAGACCUGGACGCAACCUAUUGUUUAUGGACUCCAUCAUUGCUCUUAAUACAAGUAUACCCCAAGGGAAUGUCUCAUAAUCCCCACUCUCAACAAUACAAAAAUCAGCCUUUGUGAUGAAUGCCUUGCUAUUAGCAGUUGAGAACAAGAAUGUGUGUAUGAAAUACAACACAGCAAUCUUGACCGCAUCCUCGUCCGACUUCCAUCUCUUUUGGAGGAAGCAGUCAAUCAGUGCUUGCUUGGGUACCUUUUCAAGUCCAGAAAAGUACAUAUCCAUCAAUCUAUUGGUACCACUAGAUUCAUAACCUUUAUCAGCAUCACCACAACAUCGCAAACCAGUAAUAAUCCCCAAUUCUACCAGACCAAAACGCAACUUGGUUCCGUUCACUUUAAACCAGAAUUCAUCCUCUCUUUCCGGAACUAUCUGCCUGAGCAAUAGGGAGUGUAUAAGCUGGUUCUGAACAACUACAUGAGGCAAAUCUAGAAAGUACCCGAAUGGGGUUCCCCUGAAGAUCUGGAGUUGUCUAUCAUCCAACUUGCUUUUCAACAAGUUAACAACAUCACAAUUUGUGUGCGAACUUAUACGCGUGUGGAAAUGACUGUUUGGUGGGACGUAGAAAUCCCAAGUCUGCAUUCCCAAAAAAAAUUGGCGUUAGCGGAAAAUUAAAAGAUUCAUCAAGUACUGCCUACAUACUUAUUAAUUAUGGACAUUGUAUGUACAAUCCUCUCUAUACGAGGGACCCUUUAUAAGGGCAUUUCACCAUGACAUGCAUUCUUUAGAACUGAUUUUUAUGUUGUAUUUUACCUUUCUAUAACAGCUUUUUUCCUAUAACAACAACAUCCAUCAUUAUAAUGUUACGCUCUUUGUGAAAUUUGCCUCCUUUUUUUUUGAUAAUCAUGGUGUCCGGGCCAGCUUGUGCGCCCCUCGACUAAUUCCACAGGAUAACUGCCACCUCCCACCAGCUAUGGGUACCAGGUAACUAUGUCCACUAAGGCUAGAACAGAUGGGAAGAAAUCACCUAAUGUUUGUCUCUCUUGGGAGUUGAACCUGAGACCUCAUGAUGCUCAAGCCAACUUCAUUGAACCACUAGGUCACACCCUUGGAUGCUUGUGAAAUUUGCCUCUAUAACGUUUUUUACUCAAAACAUCUCUACAUUUAUUAUUUGAUAACAAGUAAAGAGCGAUCUAUUAACUAAAUUUUACAUGAAAUAUAAUCUUUAUAAGUCUUGUAGGUUCUAGACUGUUUUUGUCUUAAGCCAAGGGUCCAUCGAAAACAACCUCUUUACCUCAUCUCUGAGAUGAGGGGGUAAGUCCUGCAUACGCUCUAACCAAGGAUCUAUCGAAACAUUAUUGUACUCUAUAUACAAAUCAUAUAUGCACACAUUAAACACAACAAUCAACACAACAAUCGGAAACAAUAAACGGUUGAAAAAGUACCUUCAAAUAAGAGGGUCUUAAAGGGCUUAGUACGAUUAAUUCAUCUCCACGAUCCACCUUUCUCUUUUUUGAUCUAACAACUUCAUCCCCAGCAUACACCUGUACAGAUUUUCCCUUAUUUUUCCGAGCAGCAUUAACACACUUCAUCAGCUUCCGUUUGACAGCUAAUUUGCCUCUCACUGAACCACCUAUCCCUCUGCCCGAUUUGAGCAAUUUCUUCUUCACAUUAGAUUCAGUACCCUUACCCUUCACACCUGCUUUACUCUGCGAUCGAGUCUUUCUUGCAGUGGAGAUUUGGCCAACAGAUCGAGUCUUUCUUGCAGUGGAGAUUUGGCCAACAGAUUUAGAUUUAGUAGGGUUUGAAUGCAACUUGGAAUCGGGAGCAAUUUGUACAACUACUCUCUUUAAUGAUAAAUCAUCCUCACUAAAUUCAUAAACAGAUAAAGGAUCGUCUUUCACAACUUUCUUGCUUGCUUUUCCCUUCGAUUUUGCCACCAUUUUAGACAAACAACUGAAAAUCAAACAGAGAAUUUGGAAGCAGAGUAAGGGUUUUUGGGUAGGUUAUACGGUACAGAAAGAGUAAUAAAAGAAGAUUUGCUGGAUAGCAGUAAAAAUAUACUCCCACUCAUCUCAUUUUAUACGGCAUUAUUUACAUAAUUCAUCUACAUUUUCUAAUGUCUCUUUUAAUUAUUAUACACAUGUAAAAUAUAUUAAAAUGUAUUUUAAUCUUAUAAUUUUAAAUAUGCUAUAUGAAAAUUUAAAAAUUCUAUUUAAAAAAAAAGAUAUUGAAACGAACUACAAAUAAAAAAAUAAAAUAAACAGCGUAAGACACUUUUGUGUAAUUUCUUUUACACCGAUCACUGAUUGAGUCAAUAAGUAUUUUUUUUUUUUGAGAUUUUUUUAGAUUUCAUGUCCUAUAGGAUUUUAAAAUAGCACUCCUCCUUUUAAUUGGGGCUAAUUAAAUGAAUAUUUGUGUUUUAUUUGUUUAUAGAAUAGAAAGAGUAAGAUCAAAAAUAGAAAGCAAUAAUAAACGGCAACUCACUUAUUCAAAUAGCUUGUUUACAAAUUUAUGCUUCAAAUACCAUAUAAUUUACAAAUAUUAAACAUAAAAUCAUGCAAGCACUUAAUAAGAAAAUUUCAUCCAUGUAAUUAAAAGAGCCAGUACACCUGAAUUUAUUGUUCCAUCUAUUUCAAUUUUUUUACAUAUUAUAUCUUUAAUAUUUUCUCCAAGUUCACUCAAAAAAAGAUAUAGUUCUUGAUCAUAAUAUAAGUUACUAUUACUUUAUUGUAAUGACAAUCUUAGAAUUGAAUAAUAAGUCUCAAGUUACCUUUAAUGGAGAGCGCUUAACCUUUAAUAUGAAAUUUUUUUAUGUGAAUUCAAAUUCAAUCAAGCUCCAAUACAGAUACAGAAUAUUUUAAAUUACAAUGCAAAUAAAUUUAAAAAAAAGAGAAGGUAGAUAUACAGAUUCACAUUAAAAUUAAAAUAAUUUCUUCAAAAAAGCAAUUCUCGAAAUUGGUGAUGACUUCUUUAUACCUACAAUCAAUGAAGAAAAAUAUUUAAUGAUAAGUCAAACAAUUAAUAAAUAAAAAUCAAAUCUCCUAAAAACCUAAUCCCAUGAAUAGUCCUCAAAAUAUAGUACCCGCAAUUUUUUAACCAUAAAGCAUAGAUAAAAAAAACUUUAUUUAAUAAGAUAAUUAGUUAUUAUGAAUCAGAAUGAUCUAUCAAUUUUUUAUAAUGAAAUACAAUGAUUCAAAUAAUUUGUUCAAAAAUAUAAAUAAGUCACUUUCAUUACUACCUAUUAUGAAUUUAGAAUAAACAAUCAAUUUUCCGUUACAGAAUGCGACGAUUCAAAUAAUCUGUUCAAAAUUUUAAAUAAUUCAAUUUCAAAUCACUAAUUGUAUAUGAAAUACUAUAAACAAAGCUCACAAAGAAAUUUCUCAAUUUGCAAUUGCUUAUCAAAAUACAUCAUUUAUUAAUGUAAACUUUAAAAUCAGUCUAAAAUUUUAAAAAAUAUACCUAUUAACAAAAUCACUUCAACAACCUGCAAUUUUGAUAAAGCAUAUGAAUGAUAUAUUUAUGCUGAAAAAAAAAUAAAAGAAGGUAAGAAGACAAACAUUAAGAUCUACUAUAAAAGAAAAUUUUUUAAAGAAAGAAAAUCUAGAAAUACAGAAGCAACAUUGACCAUAAAGUUCAUGAAUGAGAUUGUGCAAUAAUAUUUUUAUAUAUAUAGAAGACUCUAAACCAAAAAGGAAUUUAAAAAGUAAAUAUUAUCUUAACCAAAAAAAAAUUAAAAAAGUAAAUAUUAUAGAAUUCCAACUCUGGAAAGCUAAAAGAUGGCAAAUUUUGAAAAAAAAAAAACAAAUAAACUCCUAAUUCUACAGAAAAAUUACGUAAAUCACAUUAAAAAAUAAAUUAAAAUGACUAAAAUAUAAGAAAAAAAAAACAUAUUUUUAUUAGGAUUCCAUAUCUAUCCUAUUGAUUAUUUCUUUCCAUAUAUUUCAAAAGUUCUUAAUAAUAUUAUAUUGAUUAUUUCUUUUCAUAUAUUUCAAAAGUCCUUAAUUUCUAUCCCAUAUAUUUUAGGAGUGCUUAAUUUUUAUCCAUAUAUUUUUAGGAGUCCUUAUGAUUAAAUAAUAAAUUAAAAAUAAAAGGUGAAAAGACAAUUUUGUCUAUUGCAGAAACUUUUAAUGGAGGGUAAAAAGUUCAAAUACUUUUCUAAGGUCUUCACACUUUUAAUAUAUUAUAUAUAUUAUAUAUAGAUUAUAAAUAUAGAUUAUAGAUGUGUGUGUUUGAUUAAUUUCAGAUUUAAUUUUCAUUAUCUUAUUUAAUUUAGGAUUAUUUUAUCUAAAUUAGUAUACAAAUUAUAAAAUUAAAAGUAAAAUUUCAAGAUAAUUUAAUGUGUCUAUCAAACCACUCCUAAGUAUGAUAUUCAAAUCAAUGUGGUUACCUAAAAGAGUUGUUGCUGUUUGAUAGUUCAAUUUUCCAAAUAGAAAAUAAGUUAGUUAAAUAUGAGAAAAAUAGUUUCGUCAGAGAAAGUGGAUAAAAUAAAUUUGAUAAGUUAAUUGAGAUAUUUUAAUUUUUAUGAACCCAAGUCCUGUUUUUCAGAUUUCACUAAUCAGGUUUCUUUCAUUGGCAUGAAUUUCAUAUUACCAUCAUUUCAAAAGUUGAUAUGAACUUCAAAUUUCAUUAAUUAUACUGUAAUUUCAUAACAACAAACAGGAGAAAUUAGAUGAUAUAAUCUGAGUAUUAAGACGACCAUCAUAUGCAAACAACACUAUAAUGAUGCACUAAGCAUCAGACCAUGUAAUGUCAUAAUCACCCCAGUCACCUUCAGAUAUAUCCAAGGCUUUCCACAUUGCUUUAGAGCUUCUACGAUGUUAUUUGGGCAUGGAGGCUGAUAAUCGUGCUCUUCAUCACAUCCCAUGGCAGAGUCACACUCAUCUACAACUUUAGCCAUUCACACUUCUUCCAUUAGCACUUUCUGGGAUAAAAGUCCAAAGUUGAGUGACUUUCUGGGAUAAAAGUUCAAAGUUGAGUAAUCAUUUGAGUUAUUAACUCGAAUAGUAAGGGUACCUAGGCUUUGUUGAUUUUCGAAUUCAUCGCUUUUUAUACCAAUUCUAAAAUGGGAAAUGUGCUCAAACACUUCAGCAGCUUGCUAUUGGCUGCUACUUUCUUGCUUGUCCUUGCGACAGAUUCUGCAACCUAGAGAAGAUGCUCUUUAAUCCCUGAUUAUGAUGUUUUUCUUACCUACCAUGCUGCAAUUUGUGAGAGUAAACAUCAUCGUGUGUGUUGCUGUUGAAGGUUUGGUUGCUUCUUCAAGGGCAUUACUUUAGGCAUAGCCACAGCCACUCAAUGGGUUUGCCGAUGUUCUUAGAGUUAUAUCCUUUAAUCCACAUCUCUUUUUUUGUGUGUGUUAAAUGGCUGGCAAACCUUUUGGUUACCAUCAGACCUUGAAAGCAACUAUGGAGCAAAUGAAAUUCUGUAUUUUGAGGGUGCUGAAUUCACUUUGUUAAACUUAAAUAAAGAAAUGUUUAAUGAUUUUUCUGUCAUUUCCAGCAAGUGAGCAUCUUCAAAAACUUGAAGUAACUCAAUUUUUAACCAGUUGAGGUCAAUUCAUAACUCUGCGUAUGUACAAAGUAUAGUAGGUUUGAACUGUUAGAGUAAGACUUGUGUCAAAUUAGCCUAAGUGAUCCAACUGUUGAAGAUAUUGUUGGAAAUUGCUUUAAGUUACUGCACUAGUUUUUAGCAAAAUAAGUUGUUUAGAUUAGGAUGACUUUGAAUUUUAAAUAUUUGUUAGUUUGUUUAGUUGUUGAGAUAUUUUAGGUUGUUUUAAAUUUCAAAUUAUGCAGAUUUUUGUUUUAUGUUGGCUAUUUAAAGCCCUUCAAUGCUUAAUAAAAUCAUUGAAUACUAUUGAAAGUUAUUCAAUCCUUUGAGAGUCAUUUUAACCCCCUUUUCGCUGCCUCAUCUUUCUUUUAAGAAAACCAACAGUGGUAUCAGAGCCUCAUUGAUCUUACGGGAUCUGUGUGUUCUUCCAAAGCGCUACCAUACCAUUUUUAACCCGCAAGGGCUAUCUUUUUAAUCCGUACCCGUCAGGGCUACCAUUUUCAACCCGUGCUUAUUUUCAAAGCGUAAGGCUAUUUUUAACCAAAAAGAUGUCAAGCAGCAGUCUCUCAUUGAAUGCCCCAAAAAUUUUCACUGGCGAAAACUACCAAAUUUGGUCAGUGAAAAUGAAAUCAUAUCUUCAAGCCUAUGAUCUAUGUAAAGUUGUAGCGGAUGAUACACCAUUACAAUCACUCCCUGAAAAUUCUACUGUUGCUCAAAUUAAAUCUCAUUCAGAUAAAAAGCUCAAAAAAUUCAAAGCUAAAGCUGUAAUUCAAAAUUUAGUUGCUGAUUCAAUUUUUUCUAAAAUCAUUGCUUGUAAGACAGCAAAUGAAGCUUAGGAAAAACUAAAAAAAGAAUAUCAAGGAAGUGACUGAGUUAGACAAAUACAAAUUUUGAAUUUGAAAAGAGAUUUUGAAUCUCUUAGAAUGCAAGAGGAUGAAACUAUUGCUAAGUAUUCUGAAAAGAUUUCUUUGCUUGUCAGAAAAAUCAGGUUACUUGGUGAGGAUUUCAAAGAUGACAGAAUAGUAGAAAAAAUUCUUGUGACAAUUCCAGAGAGAUUCGAGUCUAAAAUCUCAGCUCUGGAGGAGUCUAAAGAUCUCUCUACUAUCUCUGUUGAAGAACUAAUAAGUGCUCUUCAAGCACAAGAGCAAAGAAGAGCUUUUAGACAAGACAAUAUUACUGAGAGUGCCUUUUAUGCACAAAACAAAAAAAGGAAAAGGUAAUUAUCCUCAUUGCAGACACUGCAAAAACAAAACACACUUGGAGAAUUUUUGUUGGUGGAGACCUGAUGCAAUCUGUGGAAAUUGCAAACAAACAGGUCAUGUUACAAAAUUGUGCAAGCUUAAAAACAAUCCUCAAGUACAAUUUGCGGAAGCAGAAAUUGAGGAGGAGCGCCUUUUUUAAAUCGUAGUAACUAAAGCAAGGAGGAGUGUUGGAAAUUGCUUUAAGUUACUGCACUAGUUUUUAGCAAAAUAAGUUGUUUAGAUUAGGAUGACUUUGAAUUUUAAAUAUUUGUUAGUUUGUUUUGUUGUUGAGAUAUUUCAAGUUGUUUUAAAUUUCAAAUUAUGCAAAUUUUUAUUUUAUGUUGGUUGUUUAAAGCCCCUCAAUGCUUAGUAAAAUCAUUGAAUGCUAUUGAAAGUUAUUCAAUUCUUUGAGAGCCAUUUUAACUCCCUUUUUGCUGCCUCAUUUUUCUUUUACAAAAACCAACAGAUAUACAAGAUUUGUAUACCUGACUACAACUAAACUUGGUUUCGAAGCCAGUUGAUUGAUUGAAUGAUCUUGUCAAAUGUAGUAGAUUUUAUAUUAGUUAUUGAACCAAGUCCUGUUGUUCAGAUUUCAUUGGCCAUGUAGACAUGAAACUUACUCACAUUACAAUGACUUCAGAGUCGAUAUGUACAUAAAUUCAUUAACUGUAAUUUCACAAUAAUAACAUCAGAAUUAAUCGUAUCUAUGUCACAUAUUAUAUUUAAUCUAAGCACAUACACAAUCAUCAUAUUCCCAACGAUAUCAUAGAUACUAUAACUUAAUGCAUUAAGCAUAGGACCAUGUGAUGUCAUACUCGCCCCAGUCACCUUCAGGUAUACCCAAGGCUUUCCACACUGCUUUAGAGGUAUCAAUAAUGUUAUUUGGGCAUGGAGGCUGAUAAUCGUGCUCGUCAUCACAACCCAUGGUAGAGUCAAACUCAUCUACAACUUUAGCCUUCAUACUUCUACCGUUAACACUUAUGGGGAUAUAGUUAUGGCACUUAUCUCCUCCACUAUACCAUCCGGUUGAAAGGGUAACAACUGGAGUAUCAUCAAAGUGGUAUUGGUUAUCACUUUCUGAUGGUCCACCACCAUCGCCUCCCUUUUGGAAGCUAUUUAGGGUUAAAACAGCUUUGGUAUUACUAGUCACAGGAGGUGAACAUUUGUAAGUGGUGUACAUCUUGCCUUUUUUACAACAAUCUGAGUCAUUUUUAGGAUUAUAUUGUCCCGGUGGUGGCUUUAUGCCUCUGAUUUUGCCACUCGGCUGGCAAGACUGUAAUCUUUCAUCUAAGCAGUAAGCAAGAGUGGCAAAAACGAGCAAAACCAGAAGAUAUGCUCCAAAGCUAGAAUUCUUCAUUGCUUUUGUUCCUUUCUCUUAUCUAAUUUUUAUUUCCAAUUGUUGGUUUUGUGGAGACUUAGAUGAUCUAACUGGUUUAUAUAGUGUGCUGGUCGCACAAGAUGCCACCAUUCUGCUCAAGGAAUGAAAAGUUCCUUAUAAUUAAGUAUACAGUUUCUGGCCGUUUAGCAGUCAAAUGGUCUAAUGGAUGAAUCAUGUGAGUAGGUGUUCUACCAAAAUCUAAUAUGAAAAGAACUUGAUAGGUUAUUUUACUGUCUUGUAUUCUAUAGCUGCUGAAAGCAAUUCUGUAUUCUUGCUGUACUUGAGUUAACACUACUGAAGCAGAUAAUGUUUAUUUCUUUAAAAGAAAAAAGACAGAAACUCGUAUUUUGUUUUAUAUUAAUAGUACUGUUGAAAUUCCAGCUACGUGCAUUGCAUCAUCAUUUUGUUCAUUUUUCUAAAUUUGGGUUUGUUAUUGCCUUUUUAAGUAUUUCUUUGAGGAUUUUAUCAGUGAUUAUGGAUUAUUUAGAAUAUUUAGUUUCAAAUAACAUGAAAAGGUAAAUGAUCCAUUACUUUGAUUAUAUAUCAUAUUGAGUCUUAAUCUCAUCAAAAUAUAUUUCGAAAGAGGAUAAUAAAAUCAUCAAAUUGAUCUUGAAAAUAUGUUUCACUCAAAUUCAUAAAUCAAAUCUUUAUUUACCUGUUUAGCUGGAUAAUAGAUCCAAAAGAUGAAUGAUUAAUUUUUUUGAUAUUGUUUCAAAUAUAUAUUAUGUGUUCUUUUAUUGUUAAUUUUCAUAUAGGAUACAUGCGCAACAAUGAGCAAAGAUAUUACCUCAGGUAAUGUAGGAGAGGGAAAUACACUUGCCUUUUGUAUUUGUAAUUUCUUUUCAUCUUUUUGCAUUCACAAAUGAUAACAAAAAAUAGGAUUCAUCAACUGAUAAAGAAAAUUACAAAACUUAGCUGAAAAAUGUUUACUGAAGUAAAAUCAACAAGAAAACCAAAUAAAAUGAUUAAAAAGGAUUGAAGUGUUAGUAAAGUUGGUUAGAAAUGGCAAAUGAGUCUGAUAGUGACUUAAACAAUGAAGCUUUAGCUUUUCAAUGUUUCGUGUGGAUUGAAUAAGUAAAAGAACCUAGUCUGUGUUGAUUUUCGAACUUAUCACUUUUUAUGCCAAUUCUAAAAUGAGAAUUUACUCAAAACACCAUCAACAGCUUGCUAUUGACUACUGCCUUCUUGAGCUUGUCCAUGCGACAAAUUCAACAACCCGGAGAACAUGUCUUUAACCUCUGAUUAUGAUGUUUGUUUAUCUACCUGCAAUGUAUGAAAGUAAACAACAUCUUGUGAGUUCCCGUUGAAACUUGAGUUGCUUCUUCAUGGGCAUCACUUUAAGCUUAGAUACAGUCACUCAGUAGAUCUGUUGUUGUUCUUAGACUUGUAUCCUCUAAUCCACAUCUCUUUUUUGUGUUAAACGACUGAUAAUCUUUUGGUUUCCAUAGACCCUGAAAGCAACUGACCAGUAAUGAAAUUCUGCAUCUUUUAGAGUGUUGAUUGUUCAAUUUGAAACAGGAAAUGCUUAAUGAUUUUUCUGUCAUUUCCAGCAAGUGAGCAUCUUCAUGAAAGUUGAAGCAACUCAAUUUUUAACCAAUUAAGGCCAAUUCAUAACCCCACAAAUGUACAAAGUAUAGUUGGUUUGAACUGUUAAAGUAAGAGUUGGUAUACAAGAUCUGUAUAUCUGAGACUGAGUGCAUCUAAAUUUGGUACCGAAGAGAAUUGAUUGAUUGAAUGAUCUUGUCAAAUGUAUUACGUUAUAGAUUAGUUAAGAACCAAGUCCUGUUUUUCAGAUCUCACUGACUAUGUUGUUGGGAAAGACGGGCACACAAUCAAAGAGCCCGACAGGGUAGCAGCGGAAAAUACCCAAGACUAAACUUUCCCUCUCAACUUAAACCAAAAAGAGACAAGCAAACCAAGCAAAAUAAUGAGAUGGGGCGGAAAGUAACUUAACCAAAACGAAAUAAGACAAGAAUAAAGGCAAUCACACGAGACACAAGAUUUACGUGGAAAACCCUUCAGUGUGAAAAGUAAAAAACCAUGGGACCAAAACCUCUACUAUAAUCACCACCAAAUUAUUACAAUAUUGUUCUCCAAAAUGGAUACCAAACAAGUGCCAAACAACAAGCAACAAUACAUACACCACAACACCAAAACAAGAGAGUAAAAGGAGUACAAAUACAAAAAACCUAGCUACUAUUCAGAGAUGAAAAACAGGAGCUACAGGGCACCAAAUCAAGCUCUGCCAAUUCCUAAUCAAAUAUCGAGAUAAAAGGAACAUGCAGUCCAAAAAUCAUCUCAAUCGGACAAGAAACGAAGCGGAAACCGCAGUUUAAAGAUGACUGUUGUGGCUGGAUUUUUCUGGGCGAAAAUCUGCACUCUCUGAUCCUUUUUUUGUGUGGUUGUAGAAGUUUUUUCUGUGUAUGUUCAGAAUAAGACCUGAAAAGGUCAAUAUAUAUGCCCUAUAUAAUUGGGCUAUGGGCAAAGUGGGCUGGUCCAAUAAAUUGGGCUACAUUUUAUCCACAUAGGAAGGGACAAAGGCCCAUGACCCAAUAAUUCUCCCCCUCCCAACUAUGUGGAGGAGACCGCCAUCCCGGCGAUCAUGCACCAAUCUUCAAACUUUUCUCUUGGCAAAGCUUUAGUCAUCAUGUCGAAACCAUUUUCAUCCGUGUGAAUCUUCUCAAGUUCAAGCAACUUAGAAUCCAACACAUCCCGAAUCCAAUGAUAUCUCACAUCAAUGUGUUUAGACCGACCAUGAAAUGUAGAAUUCUUACCAAGAUGUAUGGCACUUUGACUGUCGCAAUAAAGCACAUACCUCUCUUGAGCACAACCAAGUUCCCCCAAGAAUCUCUUCAUCCAAAGCAAUUCUUUACAAGUUUCAACAGUAGCAAUAAGUUCAGCUUCUAUAGUAGAUAGAGUAACACAUUUUUGCAACCUAGAUUGCCAAGACACAGCUCCCCUUACAAAAGUAACCAAAUACCUUGAAGUAGACUUGCGAGUAUCAACAUCACCAGCCAUGUCUGAAUCAGUAUAAACACAAAGAAUAAGAUUCCUUGUACCAAAACACAAACUCAGACUAGAAGUGCCACAAAGAUAUCUCAUAAUCCACUUUACAGUAUUCCAAUGUUCUCUUCCCGGAUUAGAAAGAAAACGGCUAAUAAUACCAACAGCAUGAGCAAUAUCCGGUCUUGUACAAACCAUUGCAUACAUCAAACUACCAACGGCUGAAGCAUAAGGAACUUUCUUCAUAUCUUGCUUCUCAUCAUCACUGGAAGGACACUGCUUCGUGCUCAAUUUGAAGUGCAUAGCUAAAGGUGUACUGACGACCUUAACCUUAUCCAUGUUGAACCUUUGAAGUACUUUCUGAAUGUACUUCUCUUGUGAUAACCACAACUUCUUGGCCUUCCUGUCACGGACAAUCUGCAUGCCAAGAAUCUGCUUUGCUGGUCCUAAGUCUUUCAUAGAAAAAGACUUACUCAACUCUUACUUCAAUUUUUGAAUCCUGCAAGUAUUAUGACCAACAACAAACAUUUCAUCAACAUAAAGCAACACAAUAAUAAAGUCACCAUCAGAGAAUUUUUGCACAAAAAUACAAUGGUCUGAAGUAGUCUUCUUGAAGCCCUGCUGACUCAUAAAGGAACCAAACUUCCUGUACCACUGCCUAGGAGCUUAUUUCAAACUAUACAAGCUUUUCUUCAAUUUGCAAACAUAAUUCUCUUUUCCCUUGACUUCAAAACCUUCGAGCUGCUCCAUAUAAAUUUCUUUAUCUAAGUCACCAUAGAGAAAAACAGGUUUAACAUCCAUUUGCUCAACCUCUAAAUCUAGACUUGUAGAUAAGCUUAGAACCACACGAAUGGAUGAUAUUUUCACAACCGGAGAAAAUAUCUCAUCAAAAUCAACUCUCUUUUUUUGGUUAAAUCCCUUCACAACCAAUCUAGCUUUGUACCGUGAAAUUGGAUUACCAUCUUCAUGCUUCACCCGAAAAACCCACCUAUUUUUCAAAGUUUUUCUGUCUAUAGGCAGCUUAACCAAAUCAAAGGUAUGAUUAUCUUGCAAAGAUUUAAUUUCAUCUUCCAUAGCAUCAAACCACUUUUCUUUUUCUUCACUUUUCAUGGUCUCAUCAAGACUCUCAGGUUCUCCUCCGUUAGUCAAGAGUACAUACUCAUUGGGAGAAUAACGAGAUAAAGGUAUUCUCUCUCUAGUAGAUCAUCUGAGAGAACUCUCUGGAGCAUCAACAGGUUGCUGAUCAACCAUAUCAACCUGUACUGGAUCAUUAACAACUACUUGCUGGUCAUUCUGAACAUGAUCAUCAUCUUCAUUAUCAAAUUGAUUUUCAUCAUGAAGAUUUUCUUCAGGAUCAGUAGUCAAAGGAACUGGAUCAACAUCAACUAGACUCUCACUACUAUGAGAAUCAACCUUCUCAGCUUUGUCAAAAUCUUCAAUUAUUUGAUCUUCAAAGAACAUAACAUCACGACUUCUAACAAGUUUUUUCUCAACUGGAUCAUAGAAACAAUAGUCAAAUUCAUCUUGACCAUAACCAAUGAAGAUACAUUGUCUAGUUUUAACAUCCAAUUUUGACCUUUCAUCCUUAGGAACAUGCACAAAAGAUUUACGCCCAAAGACUCUAAGAUGAUCAUAAGAAAUAUUCUUACCAGACCAAACUCUGUCAGGGACAUCACCAUUAUUGCCCAUUUUUUAACAUUCCAAAAUUACCUGGAGUAUAAGAAGAAAAUAAUUCCUUCUUAGGCGUAACAUGAGAAGUAGCACCCAAGAUUAAUGACAUUCUCACCACAAGCAACAAGAAGAUCAUCAUUAGCAACAACAGCAACAGGAUUUUCAUUAUUGCCUUUUUUCUUUUGUCGUCUCAUAUCUCUCUUAUACUUGAAAUAAUAUUUCAUGAUAUGCCCCUUUUUGUUGCAAUAGUCACAUGUAAGAUUCUUGAAUUUAGACCUUGACUUGCUUCCACUUUUAUCUCUAUCAUUUGAAUCUCUGAACUUAUUUCUCCCCCUCUCUUCAGUAACCAGAACAUCAUAGUGUGAAGAUGAAGAAGAUGAGGCCUGAAAUCUUCUUCUCAUCUCUUCAUUCAAGAUACCACUCUUAACAUAUUCCAUAGUUACAAUACCACCGGGAGCAGAAUUAGUCAAAGAAACUCGAAGAGUUUCCCAAGAGUCAGGUAGAGUAUUAAGAAGCCAAAGUCCCUGAAUUUCUUCAUCGAACUUUACACCCAUUCCGAACAGUUGGUCAAGGACACCCUGAAAAUCAUUAAUAUGAUCAGAAAUAGGACUGCCCUCUUUAUACCUGAUAUUCAUCAAUUGCUUAAGUAGGAACAACUUGUUAUUGCCAGUUUUCGAAGCAUAAAGUGUUUCGAGCUUGUCCCACAUACUUCUAGCAUGUGUCUUAUUUACAAUAUGAUUUCUAACAUUGUCUUCAACACAUUGUCUGAUAUAGCCACAAACCUGUAAGUGCUCAAAUUCUCAAUCCUCAUCUGACAUGGAUUCAGGUUUAGUAGACGCAAACACAGGUAGAUGCAUUUUCUUGACAAAUAGAAGAUCUUUCAUCUUGCCUUUCCAAGUAUGAUAGUUACUACCAUUCAAACACACCAUGUUACUCAUAUUUGCUUCCAUCAUUCAAAUCGACAAUCAACAAAAACCAAUGCUCUGAUACCACUUUGUUGGAAAAGACGGGCACACAAUCAAAGAGCCCGACAGGGUAGCAGCGGAAAAUACCCAAGACUAAACUUUCCCUGUCAACUUGAACCAAAAAGAGAUAAGCAAACCAAACAAAAUAAUGAUAUGGGGCAGCAAGUAACUCAACCAAAAUGAAACAAGACAAGAAUAAAGGCAAUCGCACGAGAUAUAAGAUUUACGUGGAAAACCCUUCAGUGUGAAGAGUAAAAAACCACGGGACCAAAACCUCCACUAUAAUCACCACCAAAUUGUUACAAUAUUGUUCUCCAAAAUGGCCACCAAACAAGUGCCAAACAACAAGAAACAAUACAUACACCACAACACUAAAACAAGAGAGUAAAAGGAGUACAAAUACCAAAAAUGUAGCUGCUAUUCAGAGAUGAAAAACAGGAGCUACAGGUCACCAAAUCAAGAUCUUCAAAUUCCUAAUCAAAGAUCGAGAUGAGAGUAACAUGCAGUCCAAAAAUCAGCUCAAUCGGACAAACGAAGCGGGAAACGCAGUUUAAAGAUGACUAUUGUGGCUUGAUUUUUCUGGGCGAAAAUCUGCACUCUCUGAUCCUUUUUUUGUGUGGCUGCAGAAGUUUUUUCUGUGUAUGUUCAGAAUAAGACCUGAAAAGGUCAAUAUAUAUGCCCCAUAUAAUUGGGCUAUGGGCAAAGUGGGCUGGUCCAAUAAAUUAGGCUACAUUUUAUCCACAUAGGAAGGGACAAAGGCCCAUGACCCAACACAUGUAGGCAUGAAACUUACUCAUUUUACAAUGACUUCAAAGUCGAUAUUUACAUAAAUUCAUUCACUGUACUCUCACAACAAUAUUUACAUAAAUUCAUUCACUGUAAUUUCACAACAAUAACAUCAGAAUUUAAUUGCAUCUACAUCACAUACACAAUCUAAGCAUGUAUACAAUCAUCAUGUUCCCAAUGAUAACAUAGAUACUAUAACUUAAUGCAUCAAGCAUCGGACCAUGUGAUUUCAUAAUCUCCCCAGUCACCUUCAGGUAUACCCAAGGCUUUCCACACUGCUUUAGAGGCAUCGACAAUGUUAUUUGGGCAUGAAGGCUGAUAAUCGUGCUCAUCAUCACAUCCCAUGGUAGAGUCACACUCAUCUACAACUUUAGCCUUAACACUUCUUCCAUUAGCACUUAUGGUGAUAUAAUUAAGGCACCUAUCUCCUCCACUAUACCAUCCGGUUGAUAGGGCAACAACUGGAGUAUCAUCAGAGUGGUAUUGGUUAUCACAUUGUGAUGGUCCACCACCAUCGCCUCCCUUUUGGAAGCUAUUUAGGGUUAAGACAGCUUUGGUAUUACCAGUCACAGGAGGAGAACAUUUGUAAGUGGUGUACAUCUUUUUUGUUUGCAACAAUCUGAGUCAUUUUCCGGAUUACAUUGUCCUGGUGGUGGCUUUAUGCCUCUGAUUUUGCCACUCGGCUGGCAAGCCUGUAAUCUUGCAUCUAAGCAGCAAGUAAAAGUAGCAAAAAUCAGCAGCACCAAAAGAUAUGUCUUCAUUGCUCUUGUUCCUUUCUCUUAUCUAGUUUUGUUACCAAAUGUUGGUUGUGUGGAGACUUGGAUGAUCUAACUGGUUUAUAUAGUGUUUUGGUCACACAAAAUUCCCAUAUUCUGCUCUAAGACAUGAAAGUUUCUUAUUGUUAAGUAUGCAUUCAUUGAGAAUUUAGCAGUCAAACGAUCUGGCGUGGAACACACUUUUAUCCUUUUAUAGUUAUUUGGCUACAGUAGAUUUGAAAAUAUUUGAUUAUAGUAACUUCUUUACUUGAUGGUCACGGCCUUUGUUUUCUAUAACUGGACAUCUAAAUUGGAUUCUUAUGUAUCUUGUCUCUACAACUUUACACCCACGUCUUAAACCUAAACAUACUCUCUUAUCGCAGAAAGGCAUUCCAUCUCCACCUAAUAUAUAUGACAAGAAAAUGAUGAGGUAUUUUAUUAUCUUGGAUUAUAUAGUUGCUGAGAAGAAAUUGUACUCUUUCUGUACAACAGGAGCGCCACUGCACGAAAUAGUGUUGAAGAAAAGCUUGGAGUGUUAUAAAGCUGGUUAAAAAUGGCAAAUGAGCUUAUAUAGUGGAUAAAACAAUGAAUUUCAGGUUUGAAGAUGAUCAAAAAGUCCAUGAGGGGAUAGAUUCUCGUACCACUUGCAUAAUUUACCCAUCCAAUCUCUCCACUCAGAUAAAGAUUAUGGUUGUUUGAAAUUCUAUUGACAGGACAACACAAUCCUCAAUAAGCUAAAAGGAAUCGUAUCGAAUACAACUAACUGUGUUUCUAGUAAGCCUAGUUCUUUAAUGAUACUGGAGGGGCAUUACAAUUCAUUUAUAAUGAUUCGAAAUUCAUCACCAUUCAUGCUAAUUCUAAUUUAUACAAAUGACUAAAACACUAGAGCAGCUUACGGUUGCAGCUACUCAUGUCUUGUGAAUCCCUUCUUUAAGAUCGUCAUCAAGCUUGCUCCGUAGUGUGGUUAAGGCAAACUUAACUGGCAAAAGAUGUUGUAACCGAGGUACUUUCCGUUGAAUAGGCCUGUGUUAUUGUUACUUGUAUGGGCAGGCGGCAGCAGUGCUACCACAUAUCAAGUUUUCAAAUCGACCAAGUUUAAUUAACGUAACUGAAGUCAUAAGUUGAGGACCCUGAAAGCUAUUUUGGAGCUAAACGAAACAUUGCAUUUAUAGAAGUGCUGAAUUUCACAUCAUUGAGCCUAAAACAGCACGUCUUUCCUUUCUUUCAGGGGAAGUGAUCAUUAUCAUAUAAGUUGAAAUUAAACAACUUAAAUUUCAACCAUUUGAUGCCAAUUCGUAACUCCGCUUAUGUAUAAUGUAAUAUGUAUAGCUGGUUCAGUAGUAGAAUAAAGUAGGAGUUAGCAUAACAAUAGUCUAACUUUGAUGCAGCUAUUUCUAAAGCACUUUAUUUAUAUAGUUCGCCAAAUAAUUUUGGUAGGUUUAGUUGAUUGAAUGAUUGAUCGAGGCCAAGCAGUUAUAGAUUUAGAUUAACUAUGAAAUCCUUUUGCAGAUGUUUCACUAACCAUUCCUGUAUCAUAGGUAUGGAUUUCAUAUUACUAUCACUUAAAAAGUAGAUGUGAACAGAAUUUCAUUAUAUUGUAAUUUCACAACAACAAACAUAGAAAUCUAGUACUAUCUUCGGCAUAUAUUGCAUAUAACCUGAGUAUGCACACGAUCAUUGUAUUCAAGCAAUAGCUUAAUUGAUAGUAAUGCACUAAGCAUCAGACCAUGUAAUGUCAUAGUCGCCCCAGUCGCCUUCAGGUAUACCCAAGGCUUCCCA
rnacentral:lncRNA from 1 species